UGAGUAACGCGUGGGUAACCUGCCCUUAAGUCUGGGAUACCAUUUGGAAACAGAUGCUAAUACCGGAUAAAAGCUACUUUCGCAUGAAAGAAGUUUAAAAGGCGGCGUAAGCUGUCGCUAAAGGAUGGACCUGCGAUGCAUUAGCUAGUCGGUAAGGUAACGGCUUACCAAGGCGAUGAUGCAUAGCCGAGUUGAGAGACUGAUCGGCCACAUUGGGACUGAGACACGGCCCAAACUCCUACGGGAGGCAGCAGGC
rnacentral:rRNA from 1 species